CCUACGGGUAGCAGCAGUGAGGAAUAUUGGUCAAUGGCCGGAAGGCUGAACCAGCCAAGCCGCGUGAAGGACGAAGGUGCCAAGCAUUGUAAACUUCUUUUGUCAAGGGACAAAAUCAGGCUCGAGAGCCUGACCGAGGGUACUUGAAGAAAAAGCAUCGGCUAACUCCGUGCCAGCAGCCGCGGUAAUACGGAGGAUGCGAGCGUUAUCCGGAUUUAGUGGGGUUAAAGGGUGCGUAGGCGGACUGUAAAGUCAGCGGUAAAAGCCCGGGGCUAAACCUCGGCGCGCCGUUGAAACUGGCUGGCUUGAGAGGUGGAGAGGUAUGCGGAAUGCGCAGUGUAGCGGUGAAAUGCUUAGAUAUUGCGCAGAACUCCGAUUGCGAAGGCAGCAUACCGGCGGCGAUCUGACGCUGAGGCACGAAAGCGUGGGUAUCGAACGGGAUUAGAUACCCGUGUAGUC
rnacentral:rRNA from 1 species